rnacentral:lncRNA from 1 species
AAAUACAUUGGUGGGGGCUGGCCAAGGGAGGGAUGCAACCUGUCCUGCUGCCUGCCAGGUUAAUCAGACCCUGGGGGAAACUGUUUUAAUUCAUCUCUCACAGAUGUCUAUUAAGGCAAUCCAAAAUAGUAAAACUAUGGGGAAAGUGAAGAAAAAACAAAAGGAGUGCUGAAAGGAGCAAAUGAAGAUAGAAAGGAAAAGAGAACAUUGUUUAUGGGUGAGCAAGGAGCCCCGUGAGGCCAGAGGAAGACUUACCAUUUGUGGUGACGCUGAAUCAAAAGUUCAGGUACCUCCUCAUUAGCUGCAAAAAGGGGUCACAUCAACCAGUCCUGCUAGCUCUCAACCCCCCAGAAUAAGUACAAAAAUCCUCACAACCCCUUCAUGGUUGCCAAGAAAUAUGUUAUUGGUAUGACAUUUUCAGCUCUCAAUGUAAUAGAAAUUAAUAUCAGGCCAGACAAACUUUUCUGAGAUUAAGUUUUAUUAAGAUUUAUGCCCAGAAAUGUUGGGCAUAAGGGAAACAGCACAGGAAAAAGGGUUCUCUGGCUGAGUCCCUGAGGAGACUGCAUCACGGUGUCUUAACGAGGAUGACAUGCAUAAUUCAUGAGGUAGGUGAGCAUCACUACAUGUGCAGGAUGGAAUGCAGAGUGGGCAGAUGCAGUAAGGAAUCAUGGUAACAUACAUGUCACAUGAUCAAAAUGGCAGAUAAGCCGAGUGCGGUGGCUCACACCUGUAAUCCCAGCAGUUUGGGAGGGUGAGAUGGGAGGAUCACUUAAGCCCAGGAGUUUGAGACCAGCCUGGGCAACAUGGUGAGACCCCGUCUCUACAAAAAUAAAAAAAUUAGGGAGGGCAUGGUGGUGUGCACCUGUAGUCCCAGCUACUUGGGAGGCUAAGGUGGAAGGAUCACUCAAGCCCAGAAGGUCAAGGCUGCAAUAAGCUGUGAUCAUGUCACUGCCCUCUAGCCUGGGUGACUGAGUGACAUCCUGUCUCAAAACAAACAAACAAACAAACAACACCCCCUCCUAAAAACAACACCACCUCAACGAAACAAAAUGGCAGAUAUGUGGGAAAUUUAGUAUUAUAAUGAAGCAUGUGUUAAAGAUCAUUCUUCUGGUCUUGUGCACAUCAGGGCAACAGGGUUAACUCCUUUGAGUGAGAUUUAUGGUGGGAUGCUGCUUAUCUUAGUUUUUUUCAGAGAGCUCACUAACCUCCAUUCAGCAAGUAUGUUAUGAAAAAAUACAUUGGUGGGGGUAGGCUGAGUCCCAUCCCUACUCUGUCUCAUUAUUAGAUGUAUAUACUUUAAGAAUAUAUUUUUGCCAAAUUGACUCUUUAAUCAAUAGAAUGUUCUACUUUAUCUCUAAUAAUAUUUUUGCCUUAAGGUCUACUUCUUGUCUGAUAUUAGUAAAGCUAUUUAAGAGCUCUCUUCAGUGUUUGAAUAUUGUAUCUUUUUCCAUACUCUUAAUGUUAAAUUUCCUGAGUCCUUAUAGUUAUUGUGUGUCCUGUGUAAGUGGCAUAUAAUUAAUUUUUUAAAAAAGUUUCUAGUGGAGAAUAUUUGUCAUUUAGUUCACUUACAUGUAAUAUAAUUACGGAUGUAUUUGGGUUUAUAUCUACCGUGUUUCUAUUUGUCUUCCCUGUUCUGUUUUUUUUCUAUUUUUGUUGCGUUCUUUUAAUCAAUACUUUUAAUUAAUGCAUUUUACCUUCUAUUAAGUUGCUAGAUAUACUCCUGUUUUACCCUAGAGAUUAUAACAUGCCUCCUUGGUUUUUAUUAGAAUCCAUUAUAAAUUGAUACUUUUACUACUUCCUUGAGAAUGUUCUGAUUUUAGGGAUUAUUAUCUUGCAGUCAAUAUUCAUUUACACUUACCUUCAGAUUUACUCUUUCCAUGCCUCUUCAUUUCUUCCUAAAAUUGUUUUACAGGACAGGAUAUUUUUCCUUAAUUUUUGGCUAUUAUGAGUAGUAAUCACCAUGCACAUUGAUGUACAAUAUCUGCUUGAGUCCCUGAUUUUACUUCUUUUGGGUAUAUAUCAAGAAGUAGAAUUGCUGGAUCAUAUGGCAAUUCUAUUUUUAAGUUUUUCAGGAGACAGCAACAUUCCCAUCAGCAAUGCCCAAGGGUUCCAAUGUCCCCACAUACUUGCUAACAAGUUCUGAUUUUGUUUGUUUCUUUGGAAAAUACCCAGCCUAAUGGAUUUGAAGUGGUAUCUCAUCAUGGUUUUUUAUUAUUUAUUUAUUUAUUUAUUUUUGAGACGGAGUCUCACUGUGUCACCCAAGCUGGAGUGCAGUGGCACGAUCUCGGCUCACUGCAACCUCCACCUCCCGGGUUCAAGCAAUUCUCCUGUCUCAGCCUCCCGAGUAGCUGGGUCUAUAGGCACGUGCCACCAUGCCCGACUAAUAUUUUUGUAUUUUUAGUAGAGCCAGGGUUUCACUGUGUUAGCCAGGAUGGUCUCAAUCUCCUGACCUCGUGAUCCACCCGCCUCGGCCUCCCAAAGUGCUGGAAUUACAGGCGUAAGCCACCGCACCCAGCCUUCAUCAUGGUUUUGAUUUGUAUUUUCCUAAUGAUUAAUGAUGUUGAGCAUCUUGUCAUGUGAUUAUUGACCAUUUAUAUAUCUUCUUUGGAGGAAUAUCUAUUCAAGCAAUUUGCCCAUUUUAAAAUCGGGUUUUGUUGUUGCCUGUGCUUUUACUGUCAUAUCCAAUAAAAUCAUUGAAAAAUCCAAUGUCAUGAAGGUUUUCCCCUGUUUUCUUGUAAGAGCUUUAUAUUUUUAGCUCUCAUGUUUAGGUCUUUGAUCUUUUUUUUUUUGUUGUUAAAUUUUGUAUAUGGUACAAUGUAAGGGUCAAACUUCAUUCUUUUGCAUGUGAAUAUGCAGUUUUCCCAAUUCUAUUUGUUGAGAAAAUAGUCCUUUCCUCAUUGGAUGGUCUUGACACCCUUGUCAAAAAUCAUUUCAUCAUAUAUGGGAGGGUUUAUUUCUAGGCUCUCUAUUAUAUUUCAUUGGUCUAUGUGUAUUGACCUGAAGGAAGAAAAUGAGGGAAAAUUAAUGUAAAGAGUAUAUUUUGGCCAAGGUUGAGGACUGGAAUUUGGGAACCACUGGGAAGUGCUUCAGAGAGCAAAGGAGAGUCUUGAGUCUUUUAAAGUAAAAAGAAAAGGAUGAAUCAAAAGAGAAAGCAAUUUACAAAAGUUUCAGGAAUUGUCAUUGGUUUACAGAAAUAACACUGAUUAGUGAUUAGCUAUACAUUGUUGAACUACAGGGUAUGAGCUAUGGUGUCCAGCGUAAGGCAUUGUUAGGUUUAUGGCUACUUGGUGGUGACAGUCUAGAGUCCCUAUAGCAGGUAGGUUAGAAAUAGUCAGCUCAAGCGUGGAGUAAAAGGUGACUACUGUCACAUUUCAAUGUCUAUUUGGGCCUGAUAAUUUAAAGGAAGUUCACAUUCCUCAAAUUAAAAGUUUCUUGUCUUCCUCAAGUGUCUGUCUUUAUGCCAGUACCACACUAUUUUGAUUACUGUGGCUUUGUACUAAGUUUUUUUUUUUUUUUUUUUUCAAAGACUGGGUCUCACUCUGUUGACCAGGCUGUUCUCAAACUUCCAGGCUCAAGGGAUCCUCCUACCUCAGCCUCCUGAGUAGCUUGGACUAUAGGUACGCAUCACCAUGCCUGGCUAUAGUAAGUUUUGAAAUCAGCAGUGUGAGACCUCCAACUUUAUUGCUUCUCAGGAUUGUUCUGGCUAAUUGAGAUCCCUUUACGUUCCAUACAAGUUUUAGAAUUAGUUUUUCUAUUAAUGCAAAACUUGUCACUGGAAUUUUAAUAGGGAUUGCACUGAAUCUGUAGAUUUCUUUGGGUAGACUGAACAUAGGGUAUCUUCCCAAUUAUAUGUGCCUUCUUUCGCAUUUUCCAGCAAUGUUUUGUAGUUUUCAGGGAACAAGUCAUUCACUUACUUGGUUAAGUUUAUUGCUAAGUAUUUUAGUCUUUUUGAUGGUAUUGUAAAUGAAAUUGUUUUCUUCAUUUCCUUUUUAGAUUGUAGAUUGUCAGUAUAUAGAAAUGUAACUGAUUUUUGGGUGUUGAUUUUGUAUCCUGCAACUUGGCUGAAUUCACUUAUUAGUUCGUGUGUGUGUGUGUGUGUGUGUGUGUGUGUGUGUGUGAUCUUAAGGGUUUUUUGCAUAUAAGAUUAUGUCAUCUGCAAAUAGAGAUAAUUUUACUUCCUCCUUUCCAAUUUGGAUGUCUUUUAUUUUUUAUUUGCCAAACUGAUCUGCCUAGGACUUCCAGUAUUAUGUUGAAGUGGUGAAAGCAGGCAUAUUGUUUCUCUUAGAGAAAAAGCUUUCAGUCUUUUACCAUUAUGAUGCUCACUGUAGUUUUUUUUUUUUUAAAUAUGGCCUUUAUUAUACUGAGGUAGUUUCCUUAUACUCCUUGUUUGUUGAGUGUAUCAUAAAAGCAUUGAAUUUUGUCAGCUUUUUUGCAUCAGUCGAGUUAAUCACACUUUUUUCCUUCAUUCUGUUACUGUGAUGUAGUACAUUGAUUGAUUUUUGUAUGUUGAAUCAUUCUGAAUUUCAAAAAUAAAUCUUACCUGGACAUGGUGUAUAAUUAUUUUAAAGCAUUGUUGGAUUGUGUUUUCUAGAAUUUUGUUGAGGAUUAUUUAUAGGGGACAUUGGUCUGUAGCUUUCUUGUAGUGUCUUUGUCUGGCGUGGUGUCAGAUUAAUGCUGGCUUCAUAAAAUGAAUUUGGAAUUGUUCCUUCCUUUGUAAUAUUUUGUAGGAAUUUAAUAAAAGUUGGUGUUACUUCUUUUUUUGAGACAGUCUCACUCUGUCGCCCAGGCUGGAGUGCAGUGGCGCGAUCUCGGCUCACUGUAAGCUCCGCCUCCCAGGUUCACGCCAUUCUCCUGCCUCAGCCUCCUGAGUAGCUGGGACUACAGGCGCAUGUUGCCACGCCUGGCUAAU